AUGAAGAAGGAGAAGACGAGGGAACACAAUAAUUUCUGUGUAAUAUUAUUUGUUUAUGAUGUGGCUACUCUGGAAUACAAUUUAUGGGCGAGAGAGCAGACUUUCAAAUUUGGUGCGGUACUAUAUCUUAUCAGAUUCAGUAACCAGCAUGGAAUUAAUUUUAAUUUUGUUCUUCAUCAGAUAAGUAGAGCCACGCUUUACCCCAAUCUUCAUUUGAUGAAUCUCAACUACAAAAAUUGUGAUAGUUGCACUGUAUUUUGUUGGGUCCAACAUAAAGCUGAGAACAGAGUACCUACUUUGUCUUGGUAUAUCAAAAUAAUAAGGAAUAUGUGA
rnacentral:rRNA from 1 species